CAAUACCUACUCUGUGUACUCACUUAUCACAGCUUAUUUGAAAGUACAGGAAAUUUCGAUCAAGUGGGAGAAAUGAAAUCCAUUCUCAGUAACGACUUGAUGAAGCUAUCUAUGCCGAAUCUGCGCCAAGAGGAUGGAAGGCCUUCAUGUUGUGGAAAGUAAAGCGAGUAGAGCAGGCUGGUGAUACAGACAUCCUCUGAAGUUCUGCCACUCCUGGUUUGUGACUUUCCUUGUGAAUAAGUCCAACCAUUCCCACAACUUUACCAUUCCACUCAGCCACCCACAUGCGACAAUUUUCACUAGACAUGUAGCAUCUAUCGAUGUCCUUCAGGUCCGUUGCCAAACAAGAAUCGAUGAAGUUCCAGCAUUCCAUAUACAGCAUUGAAUACAACGAGGCCGCCAAUACGACGCAAGCAAUCAUAUAGAGGAGAAAAAAGCUUACGAUCCACUUGAUUGCGAGGGCAAGAACGAGAACAACGACGCUGCAUGUCGAUAGAAUCCAGAUAUAUUUCGGGAAAACAACGCGUGCUACUAGGCUGAUCAACUGUUCCAUUCCAUGGGUAAAAAUCUCUCGGCAGACGUGAAGGUCUGUGUUUUUGAAUUUCCUAAUCAGGACUUCAUUACCACUUCUAGGUAAAGCGAAAGAUUGCAGCUGUGCAUUCAUCUUACCAGUGAGCAUAAGUUGGUGAUGUCUAUCAGUCUAUUAAAGAGACAAGACAGCAGUUGGUGAAAGUUAAAGUCGACCAUCUACCUACUGGUAACGUUAGAGUAACUCCAAC